rnacentral:rRNA from 1 species
GUCCACACCGUAAACGAUGGAUACUAGGUGUGCGGGGACUGACCCCCUGCGUGCCGGAGUUAACACAUUAAGUAUCCCACCUGGGGAGUACGAUCGCAAGAUUGAAACUCAAAGGAAUUGACGGGCACCCGCACAAGCAGUGGAGUAUGUUGAUUAAUUCGACGCAACGCGAAGAACCUUACCAGGGUUUGACAUCCUAAGAAUUCCUAAGAGAUUAGGGAGUGCCUUUCGGGGAACUUAGAGACAGGUGGUGCAUGGUUGUCGU